CACAGACACCCCCUGCCUCUGCAGGAGACCUUCCAACACUAGCAGAAUCUAGGCCCUGGGGAUUCUCUUCAGGAGGCAGGAAGAUCAAGAAAUGAGACUUCUCCAUCAUCAUACAUGGAAUCCAAAGCAAUAUCAUGAAGGGGAAAAAAUCAUCGGUUUGAGAGUUAAGACAAUUCAGAUUUAGAUAUGGCUCCACUAUUAAAAGCUGUGUAACAUUGGGAAAGUCAUCUAAUUUUCUUAAGUUUUGGUUUCCAAAUCUAGAAAAUGGAAAAAUAGUAUUAAUCUUAUAGGACUGUUAUAAAGAUUAAAUAAGAUAGCACAUAUGCAAGUACCCAGCACUGUCUUGUGUGAAACAGACUCUCAAUAAAUGUUAGCCUCUCUUCCUACCCUGUUACACACAUCCUGUCCCCUGACACUUCAAAAGGAGUUCUCCUGAACACUUUAACUACAGCUCUGUUUUCUUCAGAACAGGCACUUGGCUCUUAAUAGUGACAAACAGUCACGUGAAAGACUCCUGGGACCUAACAUUGUCCUGGUGAAACAAAAAAGAGCUCACAUUGGGAAACAGCACCAACUGCUUCAGGCUAUGACAAGCCCCAAGUACAGUGUUACUUAACAUCCUGAGAGCUCUGUGCUCUUUCAACAUACUUUUUUUCUCCCUGCAAGGAUCAGGCACACUAUUUGCCCUCUCUUCCCUUCUUAAUAGAAGUCUUUAUUAAACAAGACCACCCAAUGGAUUCAAAUAUUAGGAAUUAGAAAAGGCUAGGCUCAACCAUGAAGAAACUGGCAAAGUCUCAGUACUAAACAGUAAGCCCUUCUUAACCUUUCAGAAUCUGGAUUUUUGUGCUUUCUGUUCUUGGAAAUAGCAGAUUUGCUGAUGCUCUGUUACAAACAUGUCUGUGUAUUUCCCUCGCCUGCAUUAUCACAAAACUCUUACCAUGCACAAGACCUCUUGCUGAAGUCCGGAAUCUUAGACUCUGCUUGUAAUCCAAUAAAGCAAUGC